CACACUGAGUAAGAGUCUUGGCCAAUCACAGCCAGCCUUACACAUAUUUUCUGUCUGGAAAAUUCCCAGCACACUUCUAGAACUCAUUAGACCAGAGAGAGGAGAUCUGAACAGACACUCAUCACUCAGAGUUUGGUUUUAUGGAAGCAAGUGGCCAAAAUAGUUCCACCAAACCUCAAACAUCAAACGUGCUAUCAAACAAACAUUACAUUUCAAUUCCAAACAUCACAGCAAAUGGUCAAACAAGCAAACGUGCUAUCAAACUGCAAACAGCAAUAUAGACACAACUUACCGCACCAUGCUGGUUCUGUCUCGCAAGCCCAGAAGUGGAGAAACACCUUGUAGUCAGCAUUGGAGAACAUGUAUGUUUCUGUGAGUAGCCACAGAUGUUAUCCAUCUUCUGAAUCCAGAGGAAGGGAUGCGGGGCAUCCUUCCAUGUAGUUAGUAGAUAGUAUUGUCAAUGCCCUGCAGACUUGAUUGUGGUUUUUGUCGCAUCUCUCCUUGGUGACGUUCACCACCAGGUCUUGCUGGAUCUCGGCAAGUAAGGUCCUUCGAGACCUGGUGGUGAACGUCACCAAGGACAGAUGUGUUGAAAAUACUGUCUACUACAUGGAAGGAUGCCUCGCGCCCCUUCCUCUGGAUUCAGAAGAUGCAUAACAUCUGUGGAUACCCAUGUUCCCCAGUGCUGACUUACCAAUUGUUAUGCUACAUCCAUCUUCCGGAUCCAGAGGAGAGGACACAAGGCAUCCUUCCAUGUAGUGGACAGUAUUUCCAACGUCCUGCAGACUUGAUUGCGUUUUUUGUAGCAUCUGUCCUUGGUGACAUUCACCACCAGAUCUCACUUGGAUGUUACCAUUUGUUAUGCUACAUAUUUUCCUGGGUCAAGUUGAUGGACAUCACUGACUGUUUUUAACAAUGUCAAGGCUUAUAUAUGCAAGCUUUAAUCUAUCAACAGAAGUGAUUGGCUUUAUUUAAAUACACAACCCGUAUGAAAGAAAUGUACUUCUGAAAAACUUUGGGUGUUCCCCUUGCUGGCCAUUAUCCUGGCAGUUCAGGGAUUGAGUAGAACCCACAUAUGUUUGACCCUUGCACUAUGUUGACUUCUUUGUAUCUCAGCCACUAUUGCUGCUCAUGUUUUUAACAAUUUGUCAAAUAAAAUUUUCAUAAAUUUUUA